rnacentral:rRNA from 1 species
ACGUGGGUAACCUGCCUGUAAGACUGGGAUAACUCCGGGAAACCGGGGCUAAUACCGGAUAGUUCUUUCCCCCGCAUGGGGGAGAGUGGAAAGGCGGCUUCGGCUGCCACUUACAGAUGGACCCGCGGCGCAUUAGCUAGUUGGUGAGGUAACGGCUCACCAAGGCGACGAUGCGUAGCCGACCUGAGAGGGUGAUCGGCCACACUGGGACUGAGACACGGCCCAGACUCCUACGGGAGGCAGCAGUAGGGAAUCUUCCGCAAUGGACGAAAGUCUGACGGAGCAACGCCGCGUGAGUGAUGAAGGUUUUCGGAUCGUAAAGCUCUGUUGUUAGGGAAAAACAAGUGCCGUUCGAAUAGGGGGGCACCUU